UCUUAUAAGAGUGAGUUGUAGUAUCUUGUUUUUGAGUGAGAGUGCUAUUGUAAUAUUUGUUUGAGUUUCAAUAAAAAUUGUUUGUAUGAGUGUUUCAUUUCCAACAUAAAGUUUGUGUGUUUAAUUGGCCUUCCAUCAGUUCGCUAAUCUUUGAGAGAACUGAAGAACGGUGACCACCAUGGUGGAAGAACUAGGGUUAGAUCUGUAUAUUUAAGUCUUUUUGAGUAAUACAGUCAGUUAAUCAGAACUGUAAACUAGAAUAUCUGCUCUCAUUUUAUAAAGAAAAUGAUUCAGGUAUCAAGGCACAGCUGCAGCAGAACCUAACGCAUGUAGCUAAAAUCGCAGAUGCACAAGCACAGGGAUCAACAUCCCAGGUUGUCCUGGAGAUUUCUUCGGUUUAAUAACUUUCGAUUAAGCAACUUGCGUUUCAUUUAUUUGAACUCAUUUGUGAAACAUUGACGAUGCCUACGCAAUCCACAACGCAGCAAGAACAACAUGUGCAGUCCUCACAAGCUGUAAUAGAUAAGCAGCAUCCAGAUUUCUUAGCUUCAAAAGUGCUUUUCCAUGUGAACGAUCAGCAGCUGCAGCAGUAAUCAGAGCAAUCAAUAUAUCUCCAACAGCAGCAACUGAACCAGCCACAAGUGGGGAGAAGAUCUGCUGCCGCUGGUGGCACUUAUCAUGGGGGUCAAGCUGGGAUAGGUAACAAUGUCAUGAAAUUCGAGGAAACGAACAAGAUAAGCUCGGAAGAUGGAGCGGGUGAAGGCUUUAGAAACUUUGCCUAUGGGCAACGCUAGGUAGAGUGAAAUCAUGACCAACACCGAUACCACGGUGUUCAUAUUGUGUAGAGCUCUUCGGGUAGUUCUCUGCCUCUAUUUAUCUGUUUUUAUUUUGCUGAUUUUCAUUUCGGUACCAUGAAAAAUGUGGAGAUAACGGUAGGUGCAUACAUGUGGAGGGCUAACUUGGUUCAUUUGUCAUCUCUUUGGUUUAGUUGCUUUUCACCUGGAAUCUCACGGUAAUAUAUUUUCUAUUAGUGAUUCAAAUCAUGGUAUCUUACAUGUAAGGCAGAAGUAAUCUUCGCAUGAUUAAAUAAUAACUCAGAAUUGAGGUAAA